GCCGCCUGGAGCGUCUGAGCGAUCAGGUGAGCAGCAGUCGAGGAACAUGUGACCGACCGAAGGAAGGACGCCGGGAACACACCUCGGUUAAUUAUCCACUUCAAGCACGCGGCGAAUCAAUGUGCAGAAGAGUGAAGGUGUUUGAAGACGGUUCAAGUUUUCCACCAAAGUCUGAUUCCCGGCACUAACCAUGAUUCACACACGCAAGUGAGUUUCCUGCCCUGAAACGGAGGUGGAGUCAUAACGAAAAAAUGUAAAGCAACACCUUAACCAGAAACAAACUGGUCCGCUGUGUUUUUGUCUGCAUUGGGAAAACGACUCCUGAAGAGAAAGGAUUGCAUCAAGAGAGAGAUUCCCCUGAAGGGGUUUCACUGGAAACUCAACGAAGGAGUUCAGUUGUGUUUCAGUCUGCACAUUGAUCCACAUUGACUGAAACACAACUGGAUUCUACUGGACUGUAUUCACCAGACCUGCCUACGCCGAUGUCGCCCUUUUUCUGUUGAUUCUUUGAAAAAGGGGAACGCAACAUGAACGAUUAGUGUGAAAAAACAACAACAUAACAAAACAUUGUCCUCUGCGUUUUGCUUCUAUUAUCUAACUAAUAAAAAUGUGGUAUCUGCUGA